GAAAAUUGAAAAAGAAGAAGAAAAACAAAAGAGAGAACAGAGAACGUGCAUCUCUCCCUCUCUCCCUCCCAUAUUUUUCUUUUUCUUUGUUAA
rnacentral:ribozyme from 12 species